rnacentral:sRNA from 1 species
UGACAAAGAAGUGUAUGCAUCUCAUCA